UUUUUAUACUUGUGUGGAGCUGAGG
rnacentral:piRNA from 1 species